rnacentral:sRNA from 1 species
GCUGGGUGUGGUGGUGCGUGCCUGUAAUCUCAGCAACUUGGGAGGCUGAGACAGGACUGCAAGUUCAGACCAGACUCAGCAAUUUAGCAAGGCCCUGAGCAACUUAGUGAGAUCCUGUCUCAA